rnacentral:rRNA from 1 species
CCCUUAGAUGUCCGGGGCUGCACGCGCGCUACACUGAAUGAAUCAGCGUGCUAGAAAACCUUGUUUGACAUGGCUAGGUAACCCAUUGAAAAUCAUUCGUGAUUGGGAUCGGGACUUGCAAAUGUGUCCCUUGAACGAGGAAUUCCCAGUAAGUGCGGGUCAUCAGCUCGCGUUGAUUACGUCCCUGCCCUUUGUACACACCGCCCGUCGCUCCUACCGAUUGGGUGUGCUGGUGAAAUGUUCGGAUCGGCCGUUUGUCGCGGUUUCCGCGGCUCGUGGCUGAGAAGUUCAUUAAACCCUCCCACCUAGAGGAAGGAGAAGUCGUAACA